rnacentral:rRNA from 1 species
UGUGAGCUCGAUGAGUAGGGCGGGACACGUGGUAUCCUGUCUGAAUAUGGGGGGACCAUCCUCCAAGGCUAAAUACUCCUGACUGACCGAUAGUGAACCAGUACCGUGAGGGAAAGGCGAAAAGAACCCCGGCGAGGGGAGUGAAAAAGAACCUGAAACCGUGUACGUACAAGCAGUGGGAGCCUCUUAAUGGGGUGACUGCGUACCUUUUGUAUAAUGGGUCAGCGACUUAUAUUCUGUAGCAAGGUUAACCGAAUAGGGGAGCCGAAGGGAAACCGAGUCUUAACUGGGCGUUAAGUUGCAGGGUAUAGACCCGAAACCCGGUGAUCUAGCCAUGGGCAGGUUGAAGGUUGGGUAACACUAACUGGAGGACCGAACCGACUAAUGUUGAAAAAUUAGCGGAUGACUUGUGGCUGGGGGUGAAAGGCCAAUCAAACCGGGAGAUAGCUGGUUCUCCCCGAAAGCUAUUUAGGUAGCGCCUCGUGAAUUCAUCUCCGGGGGUAGAGCACUGUUUCGGCAAGGGGGUCAUCCCGACUUACCAACCCGAUGCAAACUGCGAAUACCGGAGAAUGUUAUCACGGGAGACACACGGCGGGUGCUAACGUCCGUCGUGAAGAGGGAAACAACCCAGACCGCCAGCUAAGGUCCCAAAGUCAUGGUUAAGUGGGAAACGAUGUGGGAAGGCCCAGACAGCCAGGAUGUUGGCUUAGAAGCAGCCAUCAUUUAAAGAAAGCGUAAUAGCUCACUGGUCGAGUCGGCCUGCGCGGAAGAUGUAACGGGGCUAAACCAUGCACCGAAGCUGCGGCAGCGACACUAUGUGUUGUUGGGUAGGGGAGCGUUCUGUAAGCCUGUGAAGGUGUACUGUGAGGUAUGCUGGAGGUAUCAGAAGUGCGAAUGCUGACAUAAGUAACGAUAAAGCGGGUGAAAAGCCCGCUCGCCGGAAGACCAAGGGUUCCUGUCCAACGUUAAUCGGGGCAGGGUGAGUCGACCCCUAAGGCGAGGCCGAAAGGCGUAGUCGAUGGGAAACAGGUUAAUAUUCCUGUACUUGGUGUUACUGCGAAGGGGGGACGGAGAAGGCUAUGUUGGCCGGGCGACGGUUGUCCCGGUUUAAGCGUGUAGGCUGGUUUUCCAGGCAAAUCCGGAAAAUCAAGGCUGAGGCGUGAUGACGAGGCACUACGGUGCUGAAGCAACAAAUGCCCUGCUUCCAGGAAAAGCCUCUAAGCAUCAGGUAACAUCAAAUCGUACCCCAAACCGACACAGGUGGUCAGGUAGAGAAUACCAAGGCGCUUGAGAGAACUCGGGUGAAGGAACUAGGCAAAAUGGUGCCGUAACUUCGGGAGAAGGCACGCUGAUAUGUAGGUGAAGUCCCUCGCGGAUGGAGCUGAAAUCAGUCGAAGAUACCAGCUGGCUGCAACUGUUUAUUAAAAACACAGCACUGUGCAAACACGAAAGU